GCCGGGCGUGGAGGCGCAUGCCUGUAAUCCCAGUGAGUGGGAGGCUGAGGCUGUAGGAUCGCAAGUUCAAGGCCAGCCUCUGCAAUUUAGGGAGAUCCUGUCUCAA
rnacentral:sRNA from 1 species